AAGAGUAAUUUUUAAUUGGUAAAGUUUUAGGAAUAAUUAAUUCAACCCCCCCUUCUUAAUUAUUCUGAGGCCACUCGAUCCAACAUCUUUGAGGAGUUGUGUGGCAAGGUGCUUAAUGAGAGUAAUUUAGAGCACCUAGAGCAUCAAGUAGCUCUAACAUUAUGCCAAUUAGAACAGAUUUUUCCUCCAUCUUUUUUCACUGUAAUGGUACAUUUGGUAAUCCAUUUGGCACAUGAAGCAAGAGUUGGAGGUCCUGUACAUUACCGAUGGAUGUAUCCUAUUGAAAGGUUCCUUUUGACUCUAAAGUCAUUUGUUCAUAAUCGAGCACAUCCAGAAGGAUCUAUUGUAGAAGGAUAUUUAGCUCAUGAAUGCUUGAUAUUUUGUUCAAGAUAUCUAUCUAAGGUGGAGACUCAUUUUAAUCAAUCUGCUCGAAAUGAUGACUCAUGUUUUGUGGAAAAUGUAAGUGUUUUAAAUCCUAGAGGUAGACCAUUGGGGAGAAAGAAGCAAGUUGGAUUCAAUUUGAAGAAGAGAAAAAGAGAUUCUCGAAUUUCUCUUGAUAAGAAAGCAUUGGUUCAAGCACAUAGAUAUGUGCUUUUCAAUAGCAACAAUGUUGAACACUUUCAAACGUAAUACAAUUUUUUUCAUGUUCAUUUAGUUAUUGAAUAUUUGUAUAAUAUCUUUCUAUCAAUGAUAAUGCUUACUUUUUCUAACCUUUUUUACAUAGAGCCCAUACUAAUCUUAUCAAGAGACAAAAUUGUCGAUUAUCUCCAUAUGAAGUUGACAAAAUUCAUAGUAAAGAAUUUCCAUAUUGGUUUUGUGAAAGAGUAAGUUUAGGAAGCAUCAAUAAUAUUAAAUUUUGCAUUCAUUUAAAAUUUUAACCAUUUGAAAUAAAAUUGUGGUAGGUUGCUCGAUUAGAAGAGCAAGACAACACUCUAAUGACAAAUGAUAUCAAGUGGUUAGCUCGUGGUCCACUAGAAAUAGUGAGAAGAUAUAACGGGUACAUUUUUAAUGAAGUUAGAUUUCAUACAAAGACACGUGAAAGGUGCUUGAAGACUCAAAACAGUGGCAUUGUUGUAACUGUUAAGACAUUAAGUUAUGCCAGUUCAAGAGAUAAAAACCCAAAGGAGGGAGAAAUCCACUACUAUGGUGCACUAACAGAUAUAAUUCAAUUGGAUUAUUCUAGAAAAUAUAAGGCUAUACUUUUCAAGUGUGAUUGAGUUGAUAUAUACAGGGGUUGCAAAAUUGAUAACUUCGGUAUGACAUUAGUGAAUUUCAAUUAUUUGCAACAUACAGGGAAUGAUAUAUGUGACGAUCCAUUUGUUUUUGGAUCUCAAGCUAAGAAAGUAUUCUAUGUGGAGAAUAAAACACAAAAUGGUUGGCUUGUUGUUGUGCAUGCAAAAAUCAGAAAUGUAUAUGAUAUGGGUGAUGAGCAAUCCAAUGACACGGAUCAAGGGAAUGAACAAAUCUUACAAGAGAUAAAUCAUAAUGAUUUGGUCAGACCAGAAGCCGAUGAUAGUGAUGAUAUCAUUGAAGUUACAAUACCUAUGGAGAACAUUUUAUCACAUGACAAGGAUGAUAAUUAUAUAGAUGAUGAUGAGAGCGAUGCAGACUUCUUUUGAUUUGUUUUUAUUUGUUCUAUUUGAACAUUUGGUUAUAUUUUGAGUAUACAUGUAUUGAACAUUUUGUCACAUUUAUAUACUCUUAUUCCUUUCUUUA